rnacentral:rRNA from 1 species
CGGGGGGAGCAAGCGUUGUUCGGAUUUACUGGGCGUAAAGGGCGCGUAGGCGGCGCAACAAGUCACUUGUGGAAUCUCCGGGCUUAACCCGGAGCGGCCAAGUGAUACUGUCGUGCUAGAGUGCGGAAGGGGCUACUGGAAUUCUCUGUGUAGCGGUGAAAUGCGUAGAUAUCGAGAGGAACACCUGCGGCGAAGGCGGGUAGCUGGGCCGACACUGACGCUGAGGCGCGAAAGCCAGGGGAGCGAACGGGAUUAGAUACCCCGGUAGUCCUGGCCUUAAACGAUGGAUGCUUGGUGUCCGGGGUUACAUAGUCCCCGGGUGCCGGCGCUAACGCAUUAAGCAUCCCGCCUGGGGAGUACGGUCGCAAGACUG